rnacentral:rRNA from 1 species
CCUGUGGAUGGGAACAAUCUCGGGAAACUGAGGCUAAUUCCCAAUAACGCUCCGCCCCUGGAACGGGCGGAGCUGGAAACGCUACGGCGCCACAGGAUGUGGCUGCGGUCGAUUAGGUAGACGGUGGGGUAACGGCCCACCGUGCCAAUAAUCGGUACGGGUUGUGAGAGCAAGAGCCCGGAGACGGAAUCUGAGACAAGAUUCCGGGCCCUACGGGGCGCAGCAGGCGCGAAACCUUUACACUGUACGCAAGUGCGAUAAGGGGACUCCGAGUGUGAAGGCAUAGAGCCUUCACUUUUGUACACCGUAAGGUGGUGUACGAAUAAGGGCUGGGCAAGACCGGUGCCAGCCGCCGCGGUAAUACCGGCAGCCCGAGUGAUGGCCGAUAUUAUUGGGCCUAAAGCGUCCGUAGCUGGCCGGACAAGUCCGUUGGGAAAUCUGUUCGCUUAACGAGCAGGCGUCCAGCGGAAACUGUU